CUGCCAUGCUGGAAGAUCCAUCCAUAAAGAGGGUCCAAAAGCAAUCGGAGGGACUGGCUUCUUCGUCGGGGGAGUUCGGUUGAGACCUCGGGCUGUCAACUCCACUUUGCUCAGGUUCGGCCUCCUCUGGGAUGGUGCACUCUACAAUGAAAUCUGCCAAUAUUUGGGCCUUUAUUGCCGGUCUAGGUCUGUAGUUGAUAUCGAAUUCCGUGAGCUCGAUCGCCCAUUUUGCCAUCCUUCUGGAGGUAUCAACUCGGUGUAAGACCGCCUUGAUCGG
rnacentral:lncRNA from 1 species